rnacentral:rRNA from 1 species
AGUGAACGCUGGCGGUAGGCCUAACACAUGCAAGUCGAACGGCAGCACAGUAAGAGCUUGCUCUUACGGGUGGCGAGUGGCGGACGGGUGAGGAAUACAUCGGAAUCUACUUUUUCGUGGGGGAUAACGUAGGGAAACUUACGCUAAUACCGCAUACGACCUACGGGUGAAAGCAGGGGAUCUUCGGACCUUGCGCGAUUGAAUGAGCCGAUGUCGGAUUAGCUAGUUGGCGGGGUAAAGGCCCACCAAGGCGACGAUCCGUAGCUGGUCUGAGAGGAUGAACAGCCACACUGAAACGGGAACCCGGUCAAGCCUCCAAGGGGGGGCCGGAGGGGGAAAUUUUGGAAAAGGGGGGAAAGCCUGACCACGCCAUCCCGGGUGGGUGAAGAAGGCUUUGGGGUUGUAAAGCCCUUUUUUGGGGAAAAAAAAGCAGCAGGUUAAACCCCCGUUGUUGUGAGGGUACCAAAAAAAUAAGCCCCGGCUAAUUUCG